UACGUAGGGUGCAAGCGUUAAUCGGAAUUACUGGGCGUAAAGCGUGCGCAGGCGGUUGUGCAAGACAGAUGUGAAAUCCCCGGGCUCAACCUGGGAAUUGCAUUUGUGACUGCACGGCUAGAGUGUGUCAGAGGGGGGUAGAAUUCCACGUGUAGCAGUGAAAUGCGUAGAGGUGUGGAGGAAUACCGAUGGCGAAGGCAGCCCCCUGGGAUAACACUGACGCUCAUGCACGAAAGCGUGGGGAGCAAACAGG
rnacentral:rRNA from 1 species